AGGAGGCAGCCGCCUUGGGCUGCCGCUCUCCAUUGUUUACGAGGUCUUUCCUAAAGCUGCCUCAUUCCCGCCGCGCUUUUCCUUAGUCCUUCGUUCCUCUUGGCUUCUGGAGGUGUCGCUCCUGCCCGAGCGGUGUCUGGCCGAGCCCUGCCCUGUUCUCCAAACCCGGGGUGUCUCUCCUAGUAAUUGCGAGGGACGUGAUGGAAAGGAGAACUAACUUCUGGGCGUUAAUUGCUUCCCCGGUUCCUGUUCUUGAAAGGUUUAACCUACUUCUUCAGCAAAAAUGUGGAUUUAGAAAAGCACCGAGGAAGGUGGAGCCUCGAAGGUCAGACACAGGGUCAAGUGGAGAAGCAUACAAGAGAAGUGCCUUGAUCCCACCCCUGGAGGAAACAGUCUUUUACCCUUCCCCCUACCCUGUAAGAACACUCCUGAAGCCCUUUUUCUUCACCGUUGGGUUCACAGGCUGUGCAUUUGGUUCAGCUGCUAUUUGGCAGUAUGAAUCACUCAAGUCCAGGGUUCAGAGUUAUUUUGAUGGCAUAAAAGCUGACUGGUUGGAUAGCAUACGGCCACAAAAGGAAGGAAACCUCAGAAAGGA
rnacentral:lncRNA from 1 species